rnacentral:misc_RNA from 1 species
UCCGGCUUAUCACCGGCAGUCGCCUUAGAGUGCCCAACUAAAUGAUGGCAACUAAGGCCGAGGGUUGCGCUCGUUGCGGGACUUAACCCAACAUCUCACGACACGAGCUGACGACAGCCAUGCAGCACCUGUGUUACGGUUCCCUUUCGGGCACUCUCCCAUCUCUGGGAGAUUCCGUACAUGUCAAGGGUAGGUAAGGUUUUUCGCGUUGCAUCGAAUUAAUCCACAUAAUCCACCGCUUGUGCGGGUCCCCGUCAAUUCCUUUGAGUUUUAACCUUGCGGCCGUACUCCCCAGGCGGGAUGCUUAAAGCGUUAGCUGCGGCACCGGAGGGGUCGAUACCCCCGACACCAAGCACCCAUCGUUUACGGCGUGGACUAC